GAGUUUGAUCAUGGCUCAGAUUGAACGCUGGCGGCAGGCCUAACACAUGCAAGUCGAGCGGUAGAGAGAAGCUUGCUUCUCUUGAGAGCGGCGGACGGGUGAGUAAUGCCUAGGAAUCUGCCUGGUAGUGGGGGAUAACGCUCGGAAACGGACGCUAAUACCGCAUACGUCCUACGGGAGAAAGCAGGGGACCUUCGGGCCUUGCGCUAUCAGAUGAGCCUAGGUCGGAUUAGCUAGUUGGUGAGGUAAUGGCUCACCAAGGCGACGAUCCGUAACUGGUCUGAGAGGAUGAUCAGUCACACUGGAACUGAGACACGGUCCAGACUCCUACGGGAGGCAGCAGUGGGGAAUAUUGGACAAUGGGCGAAAGCCUGAUCCAGCCAUGCCGCGUGUGUGAAGAAGGUCUUCGGAUUGUAAAGCACUUUAAGUUGGGAGGAAGGGCAGUAAAUUAAUACUUUGCUGUUUGACGUUACCGACAGAAUAAGCACCGGCUAACUCUGUGCCAG
rnacentral:rRNA from 1 species